rnacentral:rRNA from 1 species
AACGAACGCUGGCGGCAGGCCUAACACAUGCAAGUCGAGCGCCCUUUCGGGGGAGCGGCGGACGGGUGAGUAACGCGUGGGAAUAUGCCCUUCUCUACGGAAUAGCCUCGGGAAACUGAGAGUAAUACCGUAUACGCCCUGUGGGGGAAAGAUUUAUCGGGGAAGGAUUAGCCCGCGUUGGAUUAGGUAGUUGGUGGGGUAAUGGCCUACCAAGCCGACGAUCCAUAGCUGGUUUGAGAGGAUGAUCAGCCACACUGGGACUGAGACACGGCCCAGACUCCUACGGGAGGCAGCAGUGGGGAAUCUUAGACAAUGGGGGCAACCCUGAUCUAGCCAUGCCGCGUGAGUGAUGAAGGCCUUAGGGUUGUAAAGCUCGUUCAGCUGGGAAGAUAAUGACGGUACCAGCAGAAGAAGCCCCGGCUAACUCCGUG